rnacentral:misc_RNA from 1 species
CAGCCGCGUAAUUCCAGCUCCAAUAGCGUAUAUUAAAGUUGCUGCAGUUAAAAAGCUCGUAGUUGAAUUUCGGGAUCAAUAUGUUGGUCGUGCCUCGGUACGUACUAGCUUAUUGGUUUCUUCCUUCUGACGAACCAUAAUGUCAUUUAUUUGGUGUUAUGGGGAAUCAGGACUGUUACUUUGAAAAAAUUAGAGUGUUUAAAGCAGGCUCACGCUUGAAUACAUUAGCAUGGAAUAAUGAAAUAGGACGUUUGAUUCUAUUUUGUUGGUUUCUAGGAUCGACGUAAUGAUUAAUAGGGAUAGUUGGGGGCAUUAGUAUUCAAUUGUCAGAGGUGAAAUUCUUGGAUUUAUUGAAGACUAACUACUGCGAAAGCAUUUGCCAAGGAUGUUUUCAUUAAUCAAGAACGAAAGUUAGGGGAUCGAAGACGAUCAGAUACCGUCGUAGUCUUAACCAUAAACUAUGCCGACUAGGGAUCGGAUGAUGUUAAUUUUUUAAUGACUCAUUCGGCGCCUUACG